rnacentral:rRNA from 1 species
AUUGAACGCUGGCGGCAUGCCUUACACAUGCAAGUCGAACGGCAGCGCGGGUGCUUGCACCUGGUGGCGAGUGGCGAACGGGUGAGUAAUACAUCGGAACGUACCUUAUCGUGGGGGAUAACGCAGCGAAAGCUGUGCUAAUACCGCAUACGCCCUGAGGGGGAAAGCGGGGGAUCGCAAGACCUCGCGCGAUUAGAGCGGCCGAUGCCUGAUUAGCUUGUUGGUGGGGUAAAAGCCCACCAAGGCGACGAUCAGUAGCUGGUCUGAGAGGACGAUCAGCCACACUGGGACUGAGACACGGCCCAGACUCCUACGGGAGGCAGCAGUGGGGAAUUUUGGACAAUGGGGGCAACCCUGACCCAGCAAUGCCGCGUGAGUGAAGAAGGCCUUCGGGUUGUAAAGCUCUUUUGUCAGGGAAGAAACACCGGCUCUAACACAGUCCGGGAAUGACGGUACCUGAAGAAUAAGCACCGGCUAACUACGUGCCAGCAGCCGCAGUAA